rnacentral:rRNA from 1 species
CAGUCGCCGCGGUAAUACGUAGGUGGCAAGCGUUGUCCGGAAUUAUUGGGCGUAAAGGGCUCGCAGGCGGUUUCUUAAGUCUGAUGUGAAAGCCCCCGGCUCAACCGGGGAGGGUCAUUGGAAACUGGGAAACUUGAGUGCAGAAGAGGAGAGUGGAAUUCCACGUGUAGCGGUGAAAUGCGUAGAGACGUGGAGGAACACCGGUGGCGAAGGCGACUCUCUGGUCUGUAACUGACGCUGAGGAGCGAAAGCGUGGGGAGCGAACAGGAUUAGAUACCCCCGUAGUCCCUGUCUCUUAUAC